GAUGAACGCUGGCGGCGUGCCUAAUACAUGCAAGUCGAGCGAACAGACGAGGAGCUUGCUCCUCUGACGUUAGCGGCGGACGGGUGAGUAACACGUGGAUAACCUACCUAUAAGACUGGGAUAACUUCGGGAAACCGGAGAUAAUACCGGAUAAUAUAUUGAACCGCAUGGUUCAAUAGUGAAAGACGGUUUUGCUGUCACUUAUAGAUGGAUCCGCGCCGCAUUAGCUAGUUGGUAAGGUAACGGGUUUCCAAGGCGACGAUGCGUAGCCGACCUGUGAGGGGGGUAGGCCCCCAUGGAACUUGACCAGGGUCCAUGCGCCUGAGGGACGGAGCAGUAGGGAAUGUGCCGCAAUAGGGGGAAACCUGGCGGAACAAGGCCGAGUGAGAUGUAGAAGUCCUGCGAGCGGGAAACUCUGUUAUUAGUGAAGAACAAAUGUGUAAGUAACUAUGCACGUCUUGACGGUACCUAAUCAGAAAGCCACGGCUAACUACGUG
rnacentral:rRNA from 1 species